CGACGUGAGCAAUCUGCCUUGGAGUGGGGAAUAACGGUUGGAAACAGCCGCUAAUACCGCAUGAUACAGCUAUCCCGCAUGGGGUUGGCUGUCAAAGAUUUAUCGCUCUGAGAUGAGCUCGCGUCUGAUUAGCUUGUUGGCGGGGUAACGGCCCACCAAGGCGACGAUCAGUAGCCGGACUGAGAGGUUGGCCGGCCACAUUGGGACUGAGACACGGCCCAGACUCCUACGGGAGGCAGCAG
rnacentral:rRNA from 1 species